rnacentral:lncRNA from 1 species
UGGCUUUCUACAAAUAGAACAGGAAUGAUUAGUUAAAGAGAGGUAGAGGAGAAAGACAAGUGCAAGAGAGGGAAGGAGAAAUAAAGAUACAGAAGAAAGUUAGAGGGAAGAGAGGAAUAGAGAGUGAAGAGAGGUAUAGAGAGGGAAGAGAGGAAUAGAGAGGGAAGAGAGGACUAGAGAGGGAAGUGAGGUAUAGAGAGGGAAGAGAGGACUAGAGAGGGAAGAGAGGUAUAGAGAGGGAAGAGAGGACUAGAGAGGGAAGAGAGGAAUAGAGAGGGAAGAGAGGACUAGAGAGGGAAGAGAGGAAUAGAGAGGGAAGAGAGGACUAGAGAGGGAAGAGAGGAAUAGAGAGGGAAGAGAGGAAUAGAGAGGGAAGAGAGGACUAGAGAGGGAAGAGAGGAAUAGAGAGGGAAGAGAGGACUAGAGAGG